rnacentral:rRNA from 1 species
AGUGAACGCUGGCGAUAGGCCUAACACAUGCAAGUCGAACGGCAGCACAGGAGAGCUUGCUCUCUGGGUGGCGAGUGGCGGACGGGUGAGGAAUACAUCGGAAUCUACCUUUUCGUGGGGGAUAACGUAGGGAAACUUACGCUAAUACCGCAUACGACCUACGGGUGAAAGUGAGGGACCGCAAGGCCUCACGCGAUUAGAUGAGCCGAUGUCCGAUUAGCUAGUUGGCGGGGUAAUGGCCCACCAAGGCGACGAUCGGUAGCUGGUCUGAGAGGAUGAUCAGCCACACUGGAACUGAGACACGGUCCAGACUCCUACGGGAGGCAGCAGUGGGGAAUAUUGGACAAUGGGCGCAAGCCUGAUCCAGCCAUACCGCGUGGGUGAAGAAGGCCUUCGGGUUGUAAAGCCCUUUUGUUGGGAAAGAAAUCCUAUCGGUUAAUAACCGGUGGGGAUGACGGUACCCAAAGAAUAAGCACCGGCUAACUUCGUGCCAGCCGCCGCAGUAACAC